AACUUGAUAUACUUUUCAUUCAGGUUGUGCCGGAUGUCGUAACCUCUGAACCUCCAGCUCAGACACAGACACCAACACCAGGAGACGGGGCGUCGUCUAGUGCCAGUUGUGUGGGUAAGGCACCAGGAGGUCAUGCAAUCCCAGGAGACUGCAAAAACUAUAUGGUAUGCUCCAAUGGAAGUAAACAAAUACUUCCCUGUCCUCCUGGAACGUCUUUCAGCACAGCCAUUAAAGACUGUGACUUCUCUACAGAAGUGCCCGGAUGUUGAAGUUUGUUUUCUAUUAAGAUACUAAGUGAAAAGAAAAAAAUUACCGAAGCCGAAUUUAAUUGAAAAAUAAAGAAAAUUGUUAAGAAAUAAAA